CAGCAGUAGCCGCGGGAAUACGGAGGGGGCUAGCGUUGUUCGGAAUUACUGGGCGUAAAGCGCACGUAGGCGGCUUGGUAAGUUAGAGGUGAAAGCCCGGAGCUCAACUCCGGAAUUGCCUUUAAGACUGCAGAGCUAGCAGGUGAGAGAGGUGAGUGGAAUUCCGAGUGUAGAGGUGAAAUUCGUAGAUAUUCGGAAGAACACCAGUGGCGAAGGCGGCCCCCUGGACAAAGACUGACGCUCAGGUGCGAAAGCGUGGGGAGCAAACAGGAUUAGAUACCCGCGUAGUCCCUGUCUCUUAUAC
rnacentral:rRNA from 1 species